rfam:Oryza sativa Japonica Group DNA, chromosome 6, cultivar: Nipponbare, complete sequence.
UUUAAAUGUAACCAUGAGUUUCCAUAUCCAAAUUUAAUUGUCCGUCUUAUUUAAAUUUUUUUAAAAAAAUUAAAAAAACAUAAGCCACGCUUAAAGUGCUAGUCAUUUUUUAUCAUCUAAUAACAAUAAAAAUAUUAAUCAUAAUUUUUUUAUAUAAAACGAACUAUUAAAGUUGGACAUGGAAAAUCAUUGGCUGACGUUUAA